UUUCCCUUUAAUCUUACAGGAGCAUCUUAAAAAAGACUUGAAGGCGAUUGAGGCUCUCGAGUUGGAGGAAGCUCUGGUCCAGGAGAAGGCCGAAUGGCUGCAAGUUGCAACCCUGUCGCAAAAUUGCCAACCAGGGAAGUCAUCUUGGCAAUCCGGCAUGCUGACUUCCAGAGAUACUAAAGACUGGUUGCAGGAGGUGCUGUACAUAUAGAAGGAGAAGAAAACACUCCCAUUUCUUACCAGUUGAGAAACAGGCAUCUAAUGUAAGGAAUCACCAACUCACGGAAGCGCUGUCUACGGAAACCGCUACCAAUAUCAAUGAGGAAAAGCUGAAAGUGUCUUUGCAGUGGCAUUGGAAUACAUUUUUUAGAGAAGUAGUCUAUGUGUAAAAUUUAUGCCUUUAUUGUCUGAUUAUUUCUGUUAGUUGAAAUAGCCAAUGGCAUCCGCUGCAAGCUUUGUUGUUUCACAAUUACAGAAAAAUGAAAUUCUGUGAGGGGUUUUUAAUUCACUAACAAUAUUCUUUCUGCUGCGAUGCACAUUGUGAAAGUGUUUUAUGUUCAUUUAAGUAUGAUGUUUAUGUUUAUAUGAUGUAUAUAUGAUGUUAUUUUUUUACUUGCUGGUUUACUUUAACAGUAUCAUGAUAUCCUGAAAUUUUUACUUUUAGUAUCGGUUUGCCAACCCAAAAUUUUAAGUGUACUUUUCUGGCCACCCUGUGAAAA